UACGGAGGGUGCAAGCGUUAUCCGGAUUUACUGGGCUUAAAGGGUGCGUAGGCGGGCCUUUAAGUCAGUGGUGAAAUCUCCCCGCUCAACGGGGAAACUGCCAUUGAUACUAUUGGUCUUGAAUUUAGUUGAGGUGGGCGGAAUGUGUCGUGUAGCGGUGAAAUGCUUAGAUAUGACACAGAACACCGAUUGCGAAGGCAGCUCGCUAAACUAAUAUUGACGCUGAGGCACGAAAGCGUGGGGAUCAAACAGG
rnacentral:rRNA from 1 species